GAUGAACGCUGGCGGCGUGCCUAAUACAUGCAAGUCGAGCGAACAGACGAGGAGCUUGCUCCUCUGACGUUAGCGGCGGACGGGUGAGUAAAACGUGGAUAACCUACCUAUAAGACUGGGAUAACUUCGGGAAACCGGAGCUAAUACCGGAUAAUAUAUUGAACCGCAUGGUUCAAUAGUGAAAGACGGUUUUGCUGUCACUUAUAGAUGGAUCCGCGCCGCAUUAGCUAGUUGGUAAGGUAACGGCUUACCAAGGCAACGAUGCGUAGCCGACCGGAGAGAGUGAUCGGCCACACUGGAACUGAAACACGGUCCAGACUCCUACGGGAGGCAGCAGUAGGGAAUCUUCCGCAAUGGGCGAAAGCUUGACGGAGCAACGCCGCGUGAGUGAUGAAGGUCUUCGGAUCGUAAAACUCUGUUAUUAGGGAAGAACAAAUGUGUAAGUAACUAUGCACGUCUUGACGGUACCUAAUCAGAAAGCCACGGCUAACUACGUG
rnacentral:rRNA from 1 species